CCUUUUUGUGCCUCCUGGAGCACCUCAGCAGACAGCUCUUGUGUUCUUCAUCAGUAUCCUCAUUUAAGAAAAACACUGGUAGACAUGUUACAAAACAACCUUUCUAAAAAUUGUUCCUAGGUAUGAGUGGGAAAAUCCCAUGACGCAUCAAGGCUGAGGCACUCAGCAGGGUGAGGAGAUCUCACAAACUCCAGAGAGGCUUCUAGCAGAAGUUAUGGGAUGUGCUGGAGUUUGCAGGCUCCUGCACCCUUCUGCUGACCCUGAAGUGGCUGCUGCUGAAGACCAUGAGCAAAGCUUGUGUUACCUUCAAGUGCAAGACACUGACUACAGAGGGAAAAGGGCUGCAGGCAGUCUGAAGCGUUUAGUGGCGAGUGGUCUGUGGGAACAUGUGGAGCUGGCAGAUUGCAGAGUGCACUCUGGGAGAAGACUCCUUACCUGGAGCCACAGGAAUGGCUGAAACAUGUGGAAGGAUUCCUAAAGGAUUCCAGUUAUUCAGCAGAAUGAAGCGAGUCUGCCCCUGGGUGCAGGGAAUAGCCAGAGGCAGCAGAAAAUGCCUCCUCAGGGUUGUUCUGUCCCGCCAGCAAAGGUGGUGCAGUGGCAGAGAAAAGAAACGGGGAUUUUUUUUCAGUGAACUGCAGGAAAUCUUCCCAGCAGCUGCUAUUCACCUGUCAGCACGGAAGGAAUUAAAGAACAAAGAGCUGAGCUCACAACAAAAGUACUGAAAUCAUCAAUCUACUGGAGGGAGAAAAGGGAUUCCAGUUGAAGUGACACCAUUUUUCAACACUGAGGGUAAAGAGCAGUGCUGUUGUGAGACACAGAACGGGCUCUGUCACAACACGGUGUGUGGGUAUUCUGUCAAGUGAAAUUCAGUGGAAGAAAAUGCAAGAUAACAUGCUGUGCCUUCCUACAAAUGGAUUUUGAGUGAGCUGUAAUCCCGUGGGGGAAAAGAUCUUCAACCUUUCACAGAGCUCUGGCAAUCUGAGCCUGGAAGGACAGGUGAGGUUAGAGAACAAGAAGGCACUCAUUGGACUUGGAAAGGCAACAUUUUCCAGUGGAGAAAAGGAAAAAAGUACUGCAUUCAACUCGGGGAGAUCAUUGCCACAG